rnacentral:misc_RNA from 1 species
GCAGAACUUGGAUUUAAAAAGCCACUGACCAAGGAGGAAAAAGUAGAAAAAAGGAAGCAACGCCUAGCUGCAAUUGGUAAUUCACAUGGUGUAAUUCUGUGUGUAAAUAAGGCUAUAUUCAUGUUGACUAAAUUCAUGGAAUGGGAGUAAUCAAUUAAGCUCUGUGCAUAUAUUUUCUACAAAUUUGUAGUGCAAUACUUUAUAAGUCCUAACAUUGUAUUUCACAUUCUGUUAAUCUUCUAUAUAAAGUAAAGAAUGCGAUCGUUGUACAUAUUCAUUCAAAGUUGCAUGUCUCUAUUAGUUCCUAUGACUUCUUCUGCCAAGCUGUCUUUAUUGCUUGAAAUUUUAUACUGAACAUUGUGGUAUAUUGAAAUCAUGCGAAGCACUAACACUUUGUUUUUGCUGAAGUGUCCAUGCAUGGCACUUCUCCAACAUGGACAUGCCCAACAUGCAUCCGACUCGUCUGUACAUGUAAAAAUUUGGACAUGUCAAGGAUACAACAAUUUUUUCUUGGUCAUGUUAAUUCAUUUUUCAUAUAUGCCAUCUAUAUGGUAGAUUACUAGAUUAUUGUAAUCCCUUUCUACUAAAGGGUAUAAUUCCUAAAUCCUACUUGAUUGAUAUACAUGAUGGACUAGAUUUUCACUAUCUUGUUGGGUAUUAUUGAAAAUGAAGUAAAACCAUAUUUCUGCAGAACAUCUAUGUCUUACACUUAAUCUUAUAAUUUAAAUUUGAAUUCUUAUGUAUUUGAAAUAUAAUAAAAGUUUGUUGUUAUUAUUAUUAAUGCAUCCCUCCCGUGUUAUAUCUUAAUUUUUUAAGGAUAGCUGAGUCAAAGUGUCUGUGUCAUAUCUUGAUGCGUUUUGUGUCCAUGGCUUAUAGCUGAAAUCUGACAGUUUAAAACCCUGUCCUACAUUUGAAUUCAUAGAUCUGAUUAGUUGAUUUUUCCUACUUUUUCUAAUAUGAAUAAAAUGAUGCGGCCUUUGGAUCUUUUCUCCUGAUUUUUUUGAGAACAUUUGAAUACCACAUCCGUUGGAUUCUCUUAACAGGGGAAGAUUUAUUAGCCAUUGCA